AUUGAACGCUGGCGGCAGGCCUAACACAUGCAAGUCGAGCGGGGUUUUCGGACCUAGCGGCGGACGGGUGAGUAAUGCGUAAGAAGCUGCCCGAUAGAGGGGGAUACCAGUUGGAAACGACUGUUAAUACCGCAUAAUGUCUACGGACCAAAGUGUGGGACCUUCGGGCCACAUGCUAUCGGAUGCGCCUACGUGGGAUUAGCUAGUUGGUGAGGUAAUGGCUCACCAAGGCGACGAUCUCUAGCUGGUUUGAGAGGAUGAUCAGCCACACUGGAACUGAGACACGGUCCAGACUCCUACGGGAGGCAGCAGUGGGGAAUAUUGGACAAUGGGCGCAAGCCUGAUCCAGCCAUGCCGCGUGUGUGAAGAAGGCCUUCGGGUUGUAAAGCACUUUCAGCGAGGAGGAAGGGUGGUGUGUUAAUAGCACAUCAUUUUGACGUUACUCGCAGAAGAAGCACCGGCUAACUCUGUGCCAGCAGCCGCGGUAA
rnacentral:rRNA from 1 species